ACAAAUCAGCGUGGCCCUUGAAUGGAGAAGUUGAGUUCAAAGGACAGUGAGCUGACACAGACUGAUGCGUCUGUGGUAGGAAUGCUGCGGGUGAGAGCUGGAUGUAGAAGACCUGCAUUGCUGGUGGCCUGUGUGGUCUGAGGAACAAACAUGGUGUGGGUGACACAAAGACGUAAGAAACAGUCCUACAGCAUGGCUCCAGUUCCUAGGUCUGGAGACUACCCAAGGAAGUCACAGGAGUCAAUAGAGGCAGCUGUGCAGUGCACAAAGAGCAGCACCACAGAGGAAGGACGGACUCAGUCCAGGCAAGGAAGAGGUUUCAAAGCAAAGAGAUUCUCCAGAUGGUUGUGCUUGCUUGCCUGACACAUGGGGCUGAACAAAGCUUAAUAGCUACCAACACCAAGGAGGAAUUUUGUUUCCCAAAAUGCCAAUCCCAAGGAAAGGGAAAAAUAAAUAACACUGACAGCUUGCUGGCGGAGAUAUUGGGGCUGGGCAGUGCCAGAAGGCUCCUACAUGUGUUGGCCCUUGGAGUCCUGGAUGUGCAGGUAAGUAAGAUCUGUGCUUCUCAGAGUUUGCAGAGGGGACUUCAUCUGGGGACUGUUUUAAAGGAGCAAAGUCUUGUUGAUUUUUUCUAAAUCAGUUGGAAACAGAAGUGCUGAGGUACUAACAGGACAACUCCUGUUCUAACCCAGCUGUCAGAGUAUAUCCAAAGAGUGUU
rnacentral:lncRNA from 1 species